GAUUGUACGUAUAAUUUUUCAAUGUGUCAAUGUCAAUGAUAUAUAUGUCAAUCAAUCUCAAGUCAAGGGCCUAUACAGGGCGGCUAUCGGGAAAAUCGAAAUUGCGAAUUUCGGUUUUUGCGGUAGGCCCCCAGACCAUAUAUAUGGUACGAUCAACUGGGCUCCUACCGGGAAAAUCGAAGUUCGUCAAUUUAGGGGAUUUUUCUCUGUCACUCUAAUUACGUCUUAGUAAGAGUAAAAGAGAAAGAUCCCCGCAAUUUGCGAAUUUCGGUUUUCGCGGUAAGCCCCCUGAAUGUGCUAUAUGCGUGCGCCCGUAAGGGACAGAACAUACGCAAUGCGCCAAAUUAAAAACACGUUUGACACGUUCCUGACAACAUACCAAAAACAACCUACGUAAUUUGAUCGGGUUAUUUGUUACCCACCAUAAGCCAUACUAAAAUUUACGGUGGGGAAUAAAAACAAAUGAAACUGUGACAAGGAAAAACAAUCAUAGCGCUUUCUCUGCUACUCCCACUGAAAGUUCCAUAAGAGCAUCUCGUUCUAAGAGGUAAUCUGAGGGCUCUACCAUUUAAUCUAUAUAAGUAUGUGCAUAGUGAAAAAUAUUAUAACGCUAAUACUAACACCCAAAAGAAAGGGACGAGUAUAAUUUUCCUUGUUCUUACUGACUGACAAGUUAUGUUUGCCAGACUAUAAAAAAACGUAUUGAUUGAACGUGACAAUAUACUUUAAAUAUAAAAUAAGUUUUUGGCAAAAAAAACAUUUUUGGUACAAGCUUUUAUCGCUGACUGUACUUUUCUUUCCACAAGUAACUAAUACUCAUCGAGACAAUUCUAAAAACCCCGAACACAAUUAGGUUACGUUGUUUUAUCACAGAGUUCCUAUGGCCACAUCCUGUCUCCAUCAUCAGAUCAUCUCGAUGGUAUCAUAAUAUUGCAUUGUCACCAGACUUAUAUAUGUAUGCAAAUUUUCAGCUUCAUCGGAAACCGGAUCGGAAGAGAUGAAUGACAGAGAUAGACAUAGUAAUAGAUUAGCGUAAGUUGAGAUAGUGAAUAUAAUCAUUAUGGCCGAAAACGUUGUUUCAAUCUUACAUAUAUAGUCUCUCUCUCUCGCUCGCUGUCUAUGUCUCUGUCUCUCCUACAUAAUCGAAUCGCUCGCUAUUAAAGAGGCUUAGAAAUGUUUUAUCAAGACAAAAUAAUAUGGAGACACAACUAAAUGCAAUAAAAAACCGAAAAUCGAAGUUCGUCAUUGCGGGCGUUUUCUCUGUCAUUCUAAUUACAUCUUAGUAAGAGUAAAAGAGAAAGAUCUGUGAUGUCUGUUCUCAGUACAAAAUUUAAUAUUCAAGCCGUAGCCAUUUUGGUGAAAACAUAUUUUAUUAGUUGGUUAAAAACCCACAACGCACGCAUGCACAGCUUGCCCACCACCUUGGCCAGCUUGGCUACGGUUUGAGUAUCAAAUUUUGUACUGAGAAUAGACAACGGGUAAUUAUUGUAAAAUCGAACUCACAAAAUCAUACUGGUUGAUAAUAAUAUAUAAAGUUGAAAUCCUUUGUUAAUCGUACAUGAAAUGUGGAAUGGAAUGGAAUAUUAUAUCUAUGGUCUUUUAGUCUAUGAAAGUUUAAAAUCAUAGACUAGACAUCCAUUUCGUAUUCAGUCGCGACAACCGAAUUAUCGCAAAUUGGUGGGACCUUUCUCUUUUACUCUCAAUAAGACGUAAUAAGAGUGACAGAGAAAAAUGCCCGAAAUUGACGAACUUCGAUUUUCGUGGUUGUAGCCUAGUAGAUGUAAAAGUAAUAAGAAAAAAAAGAAAAGAAAAGAAGCAUUCUAAUAGAGUGCAGAUAGAUGAAAUGUGUAAAAAAUGUACUUGUGUUUUAUUUUAAUAUAUUUUUUUGUACUUAUAUUGAUAUUGAUGCUGGACAACGGGACGGACAAAAUGAAACGCACGGUGUGGGAAACAUCAAUGAUAUGAUAUAAAAAAAAUUGUUUCCUUGUUGAAAUACUUAAUAAAUAAAUAAAUAAAUAAAUAAAUAAAUAUUAAAAGCUUAAGUGGAGCCCAGACGGGGUGAUCAAAUCGACCGAUGAGAGAUUGGCGUCAAUAUCCAAUUGAAUCAAUAAAAUAAUAAAUUUUAGUUUUAUGGUGAUAUUUGAGCGCUCUAAAUAAAUAAAGAAUGCCCCCAAACGACAAAUUGAUACCAAUCUCAGUUUAUCGGUAAUAUUUGUCAUAAUCGGCGAUCGAAAUCGGCUCGCAGCAUGAAUUGUCGAUCGGACAAUUUGAUCAGAUGGGAAAAAAAUUGUCCCGUCUGGACUGCACUUUAAUAUGAUAAGGAAUCGAAAUAUAGUCUGUCAUGACAUUUCCGUCAGUGGAUGAGAGCGGAAAUUGAAAUAAAACAAAUGUACAGCCGCGAGUUCCAACUUCGAAGGCACCAUUCAGGCAGAAAAUCAUAGAGUACAAAAAAAAAAAAAAAAAAAAACUCACCGUUGACAGUGACACCGGCCGUCAAAAUCAAAUUUUUUCCUUACUUCGUUGAAUUUUAUUUUAAAAGAAAGUUUUUGAGACAUAAUAUAUGAAUAAAAGUACAGUAACGUCGUUAUGUGUGUCGUCGUAUGUGUGUAUGUGUUGCGUAUAAAUGUUUUGCGAGUAGGUACAUCGGUGCCGAUAAGAAACGGGCACAAAACGCUAGUUGAGAAUGACCGAUGAGGAAAACAGAUGAACACCACACAAAUGAAGAUGGUACGCCGGUCUGGAGGAGUAAUAAUAAUGGACAUAAUAAGAAACGAUUAUAUCCAUGGUACUUUUAAGGUUGCCACCCCUUGGUGCUUACGAAAAACUUACCGAAUACCGUAUAUAACGAAACGAUAUGCAAGAGAGAAACAGAACAGAACAGACAACCCACAACCGUGUGAUGUGGCGAAGGAUUACUAGGGGAGGGCUGACCCCAAAUAAACUGGGAUAAAUAGCCAGGAAAAAGGAGAAGAAGAAGAGUUAAUGCCUCGCCCGUCGGUCCAGUCCGUGGCAGAUGGUUUGGAGUGUCAGUUUGCAUGCAUGCGGAUAAUGAAUGUGAGUUAAAUUAAAGUUGUUUGUACUGGUGGGGAUUGAUGUUAAUUAGAUGUUUGUCUGUAUACUGUGGUGUGAUCCGUUGGGUGGUCCAAUAUAUGUCAAGUCGGCGGCACAGUGGAUUUAUUUAAUUUUCUUUUUCUGUUUUGUAACAAACAAUGAUUGUUUAUGUGUUUAUCAAGGCACACUUGCUCAUAAAGAGUGUUAUUCCAUGCAA